GUUACAGAAAAGAUUUCAAUGUGGAGGAGCAAGAUGUGCUGCAUUGAACUCAUCUUGGAGACUGCCUGAAGUUACGUUUCGAGACUGAAAUCACUGCACCUUAAAAACAAAGGAUUGAGCCGCACUGUGUUCCUACUGUUUUACCAUCAGCAAUUGAAUAUUUCACACAACAUAAUUAUCUGGUAAGUAAACUUUCAUUGUCUCUCA
rnacentral:lncRNA from 1 species